ACGUAGGGUGCAAGCGUUAAUCGGAAUUACUGGGCGUAAAGCGUGCGCAGGCGGUUUCGUAAGUCUGUCGUGAAAUCCCCGGGCUUAACCUGGGAAUGGCGAUGGAGACUGCGAGGCUAGAGUUUGGCAGAGGGGGGUGGAAUUCCGCGUGUAGCAGUGAAAUGCGUAGAUAUGCGGAGGAACACCGAUGGCGAAGGCAAUCCCCUGGGCCUGCACUGACGCUCAUGCACGAAAGCGUGGGGAGCAAACAGGA
rnacentral:rRNA from 1 species